CGGGCUGUAGCGCAGGGGUUAGCGUACAGGUCUGGGGGACCUGGGGUCGGCGGUUCAAAUCCGCCCAGCCCGA
rnacentral:tRNA from 2 species